GAUGAACGCUAGCGAUAGGCUUAACACAUGCAAGUCGAGUGACCGGCGCGCGGGUGCGUAACGCGUAUGCAACUUGCCUCCCAGAGGGGGAUAACCCGUCGAAAGACGGACUAAUACCGCGUACUGUGAGAUAGUCAGGCGUCCCAUUAGCGAGUUGGUGAGGUAACGGCUCACCAAGGCAACGAUGGGUCGGGGAACUGCGAGGUUGAACCCCCACACGGGUACUGAGACACGGACCAGACUCAUACGGGAGGCAGAAGUGAGGAAUAUUGGUCAAUGGGCGGGAGCCUGAACCAGCCAAGGCGCGUGAAGGAGGACUGGCUAUGGAUUGUAAACUUCUUUUGUAGGGGAAUAUGUACCCUACGAAUAAGCAUCGGCUAACUCCGUGCCAGCAGCCGCGGUAAUAC
rnacentral:rRNA from 1 species